CUCACUGCUUUCUCCAUUGUCAUCGUGCUGCGUCGCCGUACGAUCUGAACCGGCCAUGGUGCUCGUCGUGCAGCGAGCAUCCCGACGAGCGGUGUCUUCGAGCCUUCGCCGCGUACGCACCUGCACGGGGGCGGUGUAAAGGUUUCUGGGCAGCGUAAAUAUACGCGGCCGCUCAACGUCGUCAACAACUCGAUCUUCUUCUUAGUUUUGCAGUACCUGCACGUGAGGUGAAGGUUCGUCUUCGUCUUCGUCGAAUCACUCCAGUGACUGCACUGCAUCGAGAGGUUGAUCUACAUCGAUCUGUGCAGUGAUUACAUAUGUGCUGAAUCCUUCAAUCCAUCUCACUGAAUUCAGUUGUUGUCUAGUUCAGAAUUGUUACGUACCUUUAUGUAUGGUACUGUUCCUUUUAGAUUAAAAUAUUGUGGCUAGAUUACCAUCUAAAUAGCCUAAUGACAUGCAUGCUGGUUUGCUUAAUUAUGUUUCGUUCACUAGCUAGCCUGAUAGGUGGUAUGAAUAUAUACUGCAAUGAUUGAUUUGUUAAGUCUAUUAGCUAAUCUUGCAGUAGAAUUAAUUAUUGUUAAUUCUGUUAUGCAAAUGAUUAUGUUUGGAAUUAAAUUAGUGGCUAAGUAUGUCUUAAUUCCAACAGUUUUUAUGGAGCUCAACUAUUUAUUAAAUUAUUUGCACAUGA
rnacentral:lncRNA from 1 species